CCCGCGCCGUAUUAGCUAGUUGGUGGGGUAACGGCCUACCAAGGCGACGAUACGUAGCCGACCUGAGAGGGUGAUCGGCCACACUGGAACUGAGACACGGUCCAGACUCCUACGGGAGGCAGCAGUAGGGAAUCUUCCGCAAUGGGCGAAAGCCUGACGGAGCAACGCCGCGUGAGUGAUGAAGGUCUUCGGAUCGUAAAGCUCUGUUGUUAGGGAAGAACAAAUGUGUAAGUAACUGUGCACAUCUUGACGGUACCUAACCAGAAAGCCACGGCUAACUACGUGCCAGCAGCCGCGGUAAUACGUAGGUGGCAAGCGUUAUCCGGAAUUAUUGGGCGUAAAGCGCGCGUAGGCGGUUUUUUAAGUCUGAUGUGAAAGCCCACGGCUCAACCGUGGAGGGUCAUUGGAAACUGGAAAACUUGAGUGCAGAAGAGGAAAGUGGAAUUCCAUGUGUAGCGGUGAAAUGCGCAGAGAUAUGGAGGAACACCAGUGGCGAAGGCGGCUUUCUGGUCUGCAACUGACGCUGAUGUGCGAAAGCGUGGGGAUCAAACAGGAUUAGAUACCCUGGUAGUCCACGCCGUAAACGAUGAGUGC
rnacentral:rRNA from 1 species